rnacentral:rRNA from 1 species
UCGAACGCCCGCAAGGGGAGUGGCAGACGGGUGAGUAACGCGUGGGAACCUACCUUACGGUCGGGAAUAGCUCAGGGAAACUUGAGGUAAUACCGGAUACGCCCUUACGGGGAAAGAUUUAUCGCCGUUAGAUGGGCCCGCGUCGGAUUAGCUAGUUGGUGAGGUAACGGCUCACCAAGGCGACGAUCCGUAGCUGGUCUGAGAGGAUGAUCAGCCACACUGGGACUGAGACACGGCCCAG